UGCCACAUGGUCUGCUGCAAUAGGAGAAGCCUGGGGAGUUGAAAUUUGUAACGUGGGCUUUACUUGGGCUGUAGAUGCUAUUCCUAGGUUGACAGGAGGUGUUUCCAGCUUGUGAAUUAUUGUCGAGGUGUUUGACAUACGUUCUAACUUUCUUUCAGGUCCGGAUGCUUUGCAUCCAGGGCAGAGGGUCAGGGUUAGGAGGUGCCGGGCCUUCUUUGGAGCACGCGGUCUGAGAGACACUAGCCCGGUGGCAGCAGGACCUUCCCAGGUGACGAGGAAGUCAAGGCAGAGAGCAGCUGUCAAGGCUGGGUGGGCAUAGGAAGUCAAGGCAGAGAGCAGCUGUCAAGGCUGAGUGGGCAAGAUGGACUGCUUGCCAUCUAUCCUAGCCCAGCAUGCCCAUGCCAGGUGCUGUCGCUGCCCUAGGCAUGCCGGGGAAGAGAGGAGGGCAGGUGACUCGGUGUUUAGGCAGGCUGAUUCCUAGGUGAGCGUUAUGCAGCAGCAUGCUAAGUGUGUACAUUUUCUUUUUGCAGGUAUCUUCCGGGCGGCCUCUGGAGUCAAAUCAAGACUUGAGGUACCCUGGGGAGGCUUGUAGCCACAGCUUGGAAGCGGCAGCACCGAAGCACACACAUCGAGAACAUCUCAACGUCCAUGUCCGACCGAGGAUGGAUUUUGUCCACUUGUCUUCCAAAAGCUAAGUGUCGGGGCCAGUGGUUGGGAGAAGGGGAAAAGCCUUUACUAUCACAGGAGGCAAUCUGAUGUCAGCUUAGCGGAGAGGUCUGUAGUGGGACGGGCUCCCUGGAAGUAAAGGGAGAGGGUUUCUCCUCAGCCUCACCAGAGCCUUUGCCGGGCAGGGCAGUUCCAACCCAUCUCCACAUUCUCAUGAACUUUGCGUCAUCUGCCUUCCUCGACUUGACGUCGUCACGACUCUUUCCCCCGUGGAGCUCGCCUUCUGGUCCAGAGCUGUAGCCGCAGUCACCUGGCAGUCCGCUUCCUUCUCUAGGCUUGCUGAGCCUCUCGAGCAUCCUCCUAACUGCUUUGGCCCUAACUUCCUUUAAUGAGUUGCAUUUCAUCAUCACGUGCUGUUGUCAUAGGGCUUCCUUUCCCUUGGCCUCAUUGGCCUCUGGCUCGUCUUGUGCUAGGACUCUCGGGUCCCUAAAGGGAAAGUGCCAAGCAGUUGCAACUUGUCUCUGUGUUCUGUCAUCUGGGUCUAUGUUAUGGUGUCUGUGUUAUGUAGUGUGUGUCCAUUGUCUUCCCCGUCAUAGGCCUUUGUUACAUCUCGAUGCUUUAUCGGCUCUCUUCUGUGCCAUAUAGGCUGUGUUCUACUCACAUUCCUUUCCGGAUAUCCCUUAUUCCAGCAUCUUUACAUUUUUACUCUUUGAGACAGGAAUGUCUCACAGGAACAAGAUGUUCUCAUCCAUCUUCCUUCUCACUAUCAGCUUUGGUAGUGUUUUUUUUUCCAUUUUCUUGGACUUCUAGAGGGAGCAUCUUACACCCUCCUCACGUGACUGCAGUAGUUCUAUAGGUUCCAUCUUCUCAAAGGGUACAGGGCUCAAUAAGUAAUCUUCCAGAGAGUUAUCUUAAGUUGUGGUUUAUAUUGUAUGUUCCUAUAUUGGCUUAUGUUGUAUGUACUUAUACUGUAUGUACCUAUGCUGGCUUAUACUGUAUGUACUUACAUGGCAUGUACCUAUGCUGGCUUAUACUGUAUGUACCUAUGUUGGCUUAUAUUGCAUGUACUUACAUUGAAUGUACUUCGGUUGGUUCAUAUUGUGUGUACCUGUGUUGGCUUAUACUGUAUGUAAGUGCAUCGCCUUAUAUUGUCUGUACUUACACUGUAUGUAAGCAUGUCGCCUUAUAUUGUGUGUACUUACACUCUGUGCACUUGCACUGUAUGCGUCAGCUUAUAUUGUGUGUACUUACACUGUACCACUUAUGAUCGGAGCUGCCCUGCCCUGGCACGUAGUCACAGUUAGGUAGAACAGGUUUAACAACUUUACUGUUCAUCUGUCUUUCGUGGGAUUUUGGGUAGAAAAUUUAUCAGUCCAGAGUGGGGACAAGUCCUAGCUGUCAGCCGCUUGUUGACCCUUCCUGUUGUCUCACAGGUCCCCGAGGCUGCUGAUUUCCCCAGGAUCUGCCAUUUACCUCAAGGAGCGGCAGCCCGAAGAUGUGUCAAAGCACCUUCUUUAGCAUCUCAGGUUUUGCAACUCAUUGUUAAAUUGAGAAUAAAAAAUCCCCAGCUGCCUUCCA